CCCCCAUCAAUGAUGCAAUGUUGAGGGGCAGCACACUCUUGUGCAGGCUCCCUUGUCCAACACCUCACAGGGAGUUGUCAUAUACCUGCGACUGAGACUUUUCUUUAAUCUAGUCUACAGGCUUCUGGGGACAUUGUCUGUUCAAGAGUAAAGCGAUUUGUUUAUGGAAGAAAAGAAAACGAGUCAGAUCUGUUCAUCAGAAAAGACAAAAAAGAAGAAUUUUUUCUGCAUUAAGUUUCUUGUGUUUUACUAGAGCUUACCUGAUGGAGUAAGGGUGAUGAAUACAUCAGUCACUGAAAGGAGGUAGAGCGGCUGCCCUUUCUCUUGCUGCCUACUGUUUCUAACCCAUCCCCCCCUCCUGAAGCACAUUCUGAUCUCUCCUCCCUGCUUUUUCUAUACCUUCAGACUGAUGGUUGAAGGGAAAAGACAAAUGGAGUUUGUUCAACCAAUAACUUUAACUUUAUAUACAACUCAAACCCAUAGACGUUUGGAUGAGAUCUCUCAAGGAUUUCCCUGUAGAAUGAAGAGCACAAGUUAACCUUUAACAACCAUCAGAAACUCUUGGGAGAAGUUAACAACAAAAACAAAAAGUCCUCAUGCUUGUGUCCUGCUCCCCAUUCUGGAGACACCAUGCUGUGAGGAGCUCUCUGGAUAACUCUGCCCCCUGCCGGAAAGCACUCUAUUAUGUUGUGAUUUGGGGGGAGUUCUGGACAAAUGAACCUGUGUGACCCUGACCUAACUAAAAGAGAACAAAGAAAUAGACUGUACUGGAACCCUGGCUGAGGGUGCUGGGGAACUCUUCUCCUUUGGUGAGAUUCUCCCUGGAGUAUCAUCAACAUUUGUCCAGAUGCUGCUGGAGUCUGCGCCUGGAUACCAAGGAUCUUUUCCUUAACAUUGCUUCCAAGCUGCUGAGCUAUGAUUUCUUCCUUGUCUCUCCAGUGGGCAGCACAACUCUUUACAGUAGAUUGCUAUUCAGUUCACAGAUAUCAUAUCGUUCUCCCACACGAAAUAAGUCAAGCAAUCAGAGACUGUGGCUAAUACUGAAAAACUCUAUCUACAGAUGCUUGUUUCAGAGCCAAUCAAACAUUGUUAUGUACUUUAUGAGACAAAAAUCUUUGUGACACAAAUGAAUUCCAUGCACAGGCCAAUGGCCCAUUUCUUUGGAACAAUACUCUAAGCACAGGAAAAUUCUAAUUAAAAAAAAAAAAAAAACUAAAAC
rnacentral:lncRNA from 1 species